rnacentral:hammerhead_ribozyme from 1 species
ACCCAGCUGACGAGUCUCAAGUUGGGCGAAACGCGCGUCUUGGAU